GGGCCUUACACGGUCACUUCGACGUUAUUACUGCCUACUUUAAUGAAUAUUGUCAAAACAGUUUUCAACAGUUUAUGUGUUGUUUGUUUUUGUCGUGAGAAAGAAAGAAGAUUAACGGCCCAAAUUGGACGUAUUUUGCGCUGGAUUUUUGGUGGAAAACUGGAUUAAUGGUGGAUUCUUUUGUUUUGUGUUGGCCUUGGGGGAUUAGCUCACCCAGAUGAGGAGCUGAUGGGAACCAACACACGGCACCCUGAGGAGAAAGGAUCGAAGCCCAAAUGUGGCUCAGGAGGUCGCAGAGCUGCAUGAAGGCGGUGUUAACAAAUAGCUCAGUCAGAAGAAGUCAAAAGGCAACAAAGAGGAAUGUUAUAGGGGGAAUGACAUGGUGGUGGUGUCCACCCGGGUUCGAAUCCCACCACAGCGAGGACAUCAGUGUGCAUCGCCGCGGUACAGUAGAGACGUCCGGGCUUUCCCCACUGUCAAAGUUACAUCUCAGAGUAACUGCAGAGCAGAAGAAGAAACCUGUCGUCCUCAGCGCUGGAAACUGCGCCCUCGUGUGGAGAGAAAAGAAGCGAAACAAAGGACAUUAGUACAUUUUAUGGAAAACAAUAUUAUGACUGAUCAUGUAAAUCAUGUUAGGGGGUGGCAUGGUGGUUAGUCACCUCACAUCAGGAAGGUCCUGGGUUGGACUCCGCCCAGUGGCCUGUCUGUGUGGAGUCUGCGUGGGUUCUCUCUGAGUACUCUGGCUUCCUCCCACAGUCCAAAGAUGUGCCCUGGGGAUCAGGUUGGGAUCAAUUGGUGAUGCUAAAUUGUGUGAAUGGUUGUAUGUCUCUUUGUUAGCCCUGCGAUUGGCUGGCGACCACUCUAGGGUGAACCCCGUCUUUUGCCUGAAGUUGGCUGGGAUAGACUCCCGCGACCCUGUGUGGAUAAGCGGUUUGCUGGUGGAUGGAUG
ensembl:lncRNA